rnacentral:rRNA from 1 species
GGGUUGUGAGGUUAAGCGACUAAGCGUACACGGUGGAUGCCCUGGCAGUCAGAGGCGAUGAAGGACGUGCUAAUCUGCGAUAAGCGUCGGUAAGGUGAUAUGAACCGUUAUAACCGGCGAUUUCCGAAUGGGGAAACCCAGUGUGAUUCGUCACACUAUCAUUAACUGAAUCCAUAGGUUAAUGAGGCGAACCGGGGGAACUGAAACAUCUAAGUACCCCGAGGAAAAGAAAUCAACCGAGAUUCCCCCAGUAGCGGCGAGCGAACGGGGAGCAGCCCAGAGCCUGAAUCAGUGUGUGUGUUAGUGGAAGCGUCUGGAAAGGCGCGCGAUACAGGGUGACAGCCCCGUACACAAAAAUGCACAUGCUGUGAGCUCGAUGAGUAGGGCGGGACACGUGGUAUCCUGUCUGAAUAUGGGGGGACCAUCCUCCAAGGCUAAAUACUCCUGACUGACCGAUAGUGAACCAGUACCGUGAGGGAAAGGCGAAAAGAACCCCGGCGAGGGGAGUGAAAAAGAACCUGAAACCGUGUACGUACAAGCAGUGGGAGCACGCUUAGGCGUGUGACUGCGUACCUUUUGUAUAAUGGGUCAGCGACUUAUAUUCUGUAGCAAGGUUAACCGAAUAGGGGAGCCGAAGGGAAACCGAGUCUUAACUGGGCGUUAAGUUGCAGGGUAUAGACCCGAAACCCGGUGAUCUAGCCAUGGGCAGGUUGAAGGUUGGGUAACACUAACUGGAGGACCGAACCGACUAAUGUUGAAAAAUUAGCGGAUGACUUGUGGCUGGGGGUGAAAGGCCAAUCAAACCGGGAGAUAGCUGGUUCUCCCCGAAAGCUAUUUAGGUAGCGCCUCGUGAAUUCAUCUCCGGGGGUAGAGCACUGUUUCGGCAAGGGGGUCAUCCCGACUUACCAACCCGAUGCAAACUGCGAAUACCGGAGAAUGUUAUCACGGGAGACACACGGCGGGUGCUAACGUCCGUCGUGAAGAGGGAAACAACCCAGACCGCCAGCUAAGGUCCCAAAGUCAUGGUUAAGUGGGAAACGAUGUGGGAAGGCCCAGACAGCCAGGAUGUUGGCUUAGAAGCAGCCAUCAUUUAAAGAAAGCGUAAUAGCUCACUGGUCGAGUCGGCCUGCGCGGAAGAUGUAACGGGGCUAAACCAUGCACCGAAGCUGCGGCAGCGACGCUGAUGCGUUGUUGGGUAGGGGAGCGUUCUGUAAGCCUGCGAAGGUGUGCUGUGAGGCAUGCUGGAGGUAUCAGAAGUGCGAAUGCUGACAUAAGUAACGAUAAAGCGGGUGAAAAGCCCGCUCGCCGGAAGACCAAGGGUUCCUGUCCAACGUUAAUCGGGGCAGGGUGAGUCGACCCCUAAGGCGAGGCCGAAAGGCGUAGUCGAUGGGAAACAGGUUAAUAUUCCUGUACUUGGUGUUACUGCGAAGGGGGGACGGAGAAGGCUAUGUUGGCCGGGCGACGGUUGUCCCGGUUUAAGCGUGUAGGCUGGUUUUCCAGGCAAAUCCGGAAAAUCAAGGCUGAGGCGUGAUGACGAGGCACUACGGUGCUGAAGCAACAAAUGCCCUGCUUCCAGGAAAAGCCUCUAAGCAUCAGGUAACAUCAAAUCGUACCCCAAACCGACACAGGUGGUCAGGUAGAGAAUACCAAGGCGCUUGAGAGAACUCGGGUGAAGGAACUAGGCAAAAUGGUGCCGUAACUUCGGGAGAAGGCACGCUGAUAUGUAGGUGAAGUCCCUCGCGGAUGGAGCUGAAAUCAGUCGAAGAUACCAGCUGGCUGCAACUGUUUAUUAAAAACACAGCACUGUGCAAACACGAAAGUGGACGUAUACGGUGUGACGCCUGCCCGGUGCCGGAAGGUUAAUUGAUGGGGUCAGCGCAAGCGAAGCUCUUGAUCGAAGCCCCGGUAAACGGCGGCCGUAACUAUAACGGUCCUAAGGUAGCGAAAUUCCUUGUCGGGUAAGUUCCGACCUGCACGAAUGGCGUAAUGAUGGCCAGGCUGUCUCCACCCGAGACUCAGUGAAAUUGAACUCGCUGUGAAGAUGCAGUGUACCCGCGGCAAGACGGAAAGACCCCGUGAACCUUUACUAUAGCUUGACACUGAACAUUGAGCCUUGAUGUGUAGGAUAGGUGGGAGGCUUUGAAGUGUGGACGCCAGUCUGCAUGGAGCCGACCUUGAAAUACCACCCUUUAAUGUUUGAUGUUCUAACGUUGACCCGUAAUCCGGGUUGCGGACAGUGUCUGGUGGGUAGUUUGACUGGGGCGGUCUCCUCCUAAAGAGUAACGGAGGAGCACGAAGGUUGGCUAAUCCUGGUCGGACAUCAGGAGGUUAGUGCAAUGGCAUAAGCCAGCUUGACUGCGAGCGUGACGGCGCGAGCAGGUGCGAAAGCAGGUCAUAGUGAUCCGGUGGUUCUGAAUGGAAGGGCCAUCGCUCAACGGAUAAAAGGUACUCCGGGGAUAACAGGCUGAUACCGCCCAAGAGUUCAUAUCGACGGCGGUGUUUGGCACCUCGAUGUCGGCUCAUCACAUCCUGGGGCUGAAGUAGGUCCCAAGGGUAUGGCUGUUCGCCAUUUAAAGUGGUACGCGAGCUGGGUUUAGAACGUCGUGAGACAGUUCGGUCCCUAUCUGCCGUGGGCGCUGGAGAACUGAGGGGGGCUGCUCCUAGUACGAGAGGACCGGAGUGGACGCAUCACUGGUGUUCGGGUUGUCAUGCCAAUGGCACUGCCCGGUAGCUAAAUGCGGAAGAGAUAAGUGCUGAAAGCAUCUAAGCACGAAACUUGCCCCGAGAUGAGUUCUCCCUGACUCCUUGAGAGUCCUGAAGGAACGUUGAAGACGACGACGUUGAUAGGCCGGGUGUGUAAGCGCAGCGAUGCGUUGAGCUAACCGGUACUAAUGAACCGUGAGGCUUAACCUUACAACGCCGAAG